UACGUAGGGGGCUAGCGUUGUUCGGAAUUACUGGGCGUAAAGGGCGCGUAGGCGGCAUGGCAAGUCAGGAGUGAAAGGCCUGGGCUCAACCGAGGAACUGCUUUUGAUACUGCCAAGCUAGAGUGCGGAAGGGGGCAACUGGAAUUCCCAGUGUAGCGGUGAAAUGCGUAGAUAUUGGGAAGAACACCUGAGGCGAAGGCGGGUUGCUGGGCCGACACUGGACGCUGAGGCGCGAAAGCCAGGG
rnacentral:rRNA from 1 species